ACAAUGACUCGAAAACAUUUUUUUCCCUCCAAUUCGCUACAAAAGGCCAGAUUACUAUGAUAAUAUCGCAUUUUUAAGAGAUUAUACAUCCCAAGAGUACAAGAAAAUUGACUUCAACUGAAUUCAACUUUAUCUUAUCUUUAAAACUUACCGAACUGUCAAAAAUUUCAGAAUUCAGCUUUAAGAUGAAACUAUUUUGGAUUAUAAUUUUGUGCUCUGCAAUCCUUACUGUUGCCUUAAGCAAACCAUCAGGAGCUAAAAGGCUGUCUAGAGAAUCCUCAAAAGUGCACAGUGAUACUUUGGCUGCUCCCAGAGUGAUGGUCAAAAGAUCACCCGAAGAUGAUAAUGGAAUGAAUACUAAGGUGGGCGCGACUGAUCGCCCAGGACUGGCAGGUGGCAUAACUGGAUUUGUUGAUGGCAUUUUCAGGUUUAUUGGGGAUAUAUUCCGUUUUAUAUUUUGAGUUAAAGUAUGAAGAUCACCGAUAAAAUGCAACUGAAGCAUUUUACAAUUCUACUGUGCAAUUUCAUUGCGAUUUCUGAUAUUUAUAAAUCUUAAGUUUGAAAUAUGUAUCGGUGACUUCAUGAUAAUAAAACUAUUGAAAAACUUU